UACGUAGGGUGCGAGCGUUAAUCGGAAUUAUUGGGCGUAAAGAGCUCGUAGGCGGUGUGUCGCGUCUGCUGUGAAAACUCAGGGCUCAACUCUGAGCUUGCAGUGGGUACGGGCACACUAGAGUGCUGUAGGGGAGACUGGAAUUCCUGGUGUAGCGGUGAAAUGCGCAGAUAUCAGGAGGAACACCGGUGGCGAAGGCGGGUCUGCUGGCGAGUUGACUGGCGCUGGAGGAGCGGAAAGCAUGGGGAGC
rnacentral:rRNA from 1 species